rnacentral:rRNA from 1 species
ACUAAGCGUACACGGUGGAUGCCUUGGCAGUCAGAGGCGAUGAAAGACGUAGUAACUUGCGAUAAGCCCAGAUUAGGUAGUAACAACCAUUUGAGUCUGGGAUUUCUGAAUGGGGAAACCCACGUGCAUAAGCACGUAUCCUUACCUGAAUACAUAGGGUAAGGAGGCGAACCGGGGGAACUGAAACAUCUAAGUACCCCGAGGAAAAGAAAUCAACCGAGAUUCCGAAAGUAGCGGCGAGCGAAAUUGGACUAGCCCUUAAGCUUUACACGCGUUAGACGAACGGUCUGGAAAGUCCGACGAUACAGGGUGAUAGUCCCGUAGUUGACGACGUGUGUUCAGUGAAAUCGAGUAGGGCGGGACACGUGAUAUCCUGUCUGAAUAUGGGGGGACCAUCCUCCAAGGCUAAAUACUACUGACUGACCGAUAGUGAACCAGUACCGUGAGGGAAAGGCGAAAAGAACCCCUGUGAGGGGAGUGAAAUAGAACCUGAAACCGUGUACGUACAAGCAGUAGGAGCAGGCUUUGUCCUGUGACUGCGUACCUUUUGUAUAAUGGGUCAGCGACUUAUAUUCAGUGGCAAGGUUAACCAUCUAGGGGAGCCGUAGGGAAACCGAGUCUUAACUGGGCGUUCAGUCUCUGGAUAUAGACCCGAAACCAGGUGAUCUAGCCAUGGGCAGGUUGAAGGUUGAGUAACAUCAACUGGAGGACCGAACCGACUAAUGUUGAAAAAUUAGCGGAUGACUUGUGGCUAGGGGUGAAAGGCCAAUCAAACCUGGAGAUAGCUGGUUCUCCCCGAAAGCUAUUUAGGUAGCGCCUCGGACGAAUACUACUGGGGGUAGAGCACUGUUAAGGCUAGGGGGUCAUCCCGACUUACCAACCCUUUGCAAACUCCGAAUACCAGUAAGUACUAUCCGGGAGACACACGGCGGGUGCUAACGUCCGUCGUGGAGAGGGAAACAACCCAGACCGCCAGCUAAGGUCCCAAAUUACUACUAAGUGGGAAACGAUGUGGGAAGGCUCAGACAGCCAGGAUGUUGGCUUAGAAGCAGCCAUCAUUUAAAGAAAGCGUAAUAGCUCACUGGUCGAGUCGGCCUGCGCGGAAGAUGUAACGGGGCUAAGUAGUAAACCGAAGCUGCGGCAAUGUGCUUUUGCACAUUGGGUAGGGGAGCGUUCUGUAAGCGGUUGAAGGUGUGUGGUAACGCAUGCUGGACGUAUCAGAAGUGCGAAUGCUGACAUGAGUAACGAUAAAGGGGGUGAAAAACCUCCUCGCCGGAAGACCAAGGGUUCCUGUCCAACGUUAAUCGGGGCAGGGUAAGUCGACCCCUAAGGCGAGGCCGAAAGGCGUAGUCGAUGGGAAACGGGUUAAUAUUCCCGUACUUCUUACAAUUGCGAUGGGGGGACGGAGAAGGCUAGGUGGGCCUGGCGACGGUUGUCCAGGUUCAAGUGCGUAGGCUUGAGAGUUAGGUAAAUCCGGCUCUCUUUAAGGCUGAGACACGACGUCGAGCCACUACGGUGGUGAAGUCAUUGAUGCCAUGCUUCCAGGAAAAGCCUCUAAGCUUCAGAUUGUAAGGAAUCGUACCCCAAACCGACACAGGUGGUCGGGUAGAGAAUACCAAGGCGCUUGAGAGAACUCGGGUGAAGGAACUAGGCAAAAUGGUACCGUAACUUCGGGAGAAGGUACGCUCUCGACGGUGAAGUCCCUUGCGGAUGGAGCUAUUGAGAGUCGCAGAUACCAGGUGGCUGCAACUGUUUAUUAAAAACACAGCACUGUGCAAAAUCGUAAGAUGACGUAUACGGUGUGACGCCUGCCCGGUGCCGGAAGGUUAAUUGAUGGGGUUAGACUUCGGUCGAAGCUCUUGAUCGAAGCCCCGGUAAACGGCGGCCGUAACUAUAACGGUCCUAAGGUAGCGAAAUUCCUUGUCGGGUAAGUUCCGACCUGCACGAAUGGCGUAAUGAUGGCCACGCUGUCUCCACCCGAGACUCAGUGAAAUUGAAAUCGCUGUGAAGAUGCAGUGUACCCGCGGCUAGACGGAAAGACCCCGUGAACCUUUACUACAGCUUGGCACUGAACAUUGACCCUACAUGUGUAGGAUAGGUGGGAGGCUUUGAAGCACGUACGCCAGUAUGUGUGGAGCCGUCCUUGAAAUACCACCCUUGUAGUGUUGAUGUUCUAACGUUGACCCCUAAUCGGGGUUGCGGACAGUGCCUGGUGGGUAGUUUGACUGGGGCGGUCUCCUCCCAAAGAGUAACGGAGGAGCACGAAGGUGGGCUAAUCACGGUUGGACAUCGUGAGGUUAGUGCAAUGGCAUAAGCCCGCUUGACUGCGAGAAUGACAAUUCGAGCAGGUGCGAAAGCAGGUCAUAGUGAUCCGGUGGUUCUGAAUGGAAGGGCCAUCGCUCAACGGAUAAAAGGUACUCCGGGGAUAACAGGCUGAUACCGCCCAAGAGUUCAUAUCGACGGCGGUGUUUGGCACCUCGAUGUCGGCUCAUCACAUCCUGGGGCUGAAGUCGGUCCCAAGGGUAUGGCUGUUCGCCAUUUAAAGUGGUACGCGAGCUGGGUUUAGAACGUCGUGAGACAGUUCGGUCCCUAUCUGCCGUGGGCGUUGGAAGAUUGAAGGGGGCUGCUCCUAGUACGAGAGGACCGGAGUGGACGAACCUCUGGUGUUCGGGUUGUGUCGCCAGACGCAUUGCCCGGUAGCUAAGUUCGGAAUCGAUAACCGCUGAAAGCAUCUAAGCGGGAAGCGAGCCCUGAGAUGAGUCUUCCCUGAUACUUUAAGUAUCCUAAAGGGUUGUCGGAGACUACGACGUUGAUAGGUCAGGUGUGUAAGUGCUGUGAGGCAUUGAGCUAACUGAUACUAAUUGCCCGUGAGGCUUAACC